GUGAUUCCAAGUGCGGCCACGUGGCCUAUCAGAAGCCCCUAGAGGGCUUGUUACAGCACCGUGUGCCAGCCCCACCCGCAGGGCACUGGGGGUGGGGCAGGGCCCGGGGAAUUCGCAUUUCAAACAGGCUGCAGGGUGAGGCACACUGUGAAAUGGACGCAGAUCAGGUUGGGGAUGCGUGGAAGGUGAAGGGGUUGAGGGAGAAAUCCCCGCUUUCUCCCCGCCCCCACAGCCCCGAAUUAAACACAGGACAGCUGGGUAUGAACUCUACCCGUGUAGUGUUUUCAUUAUGUUCCGUCUGCAGGAGAGGGAUCAGGCUGGUUGACAUUUGUGGAGAAGCUGAGCUGUGGCGUGAGCCUCCCUCAGAGAAGGCAGGGAUAAAUCGUCACCAUCUUGGCAGAUCCCCAGGAAAAGCAAUGAAGAGGCGCCACCUGCACUAGGGUCUCUUGGGCAGCGUGGGGACAAAACCUGACUCCCUUACCUUCGUGCUAGCCCUGGCCUCCCUGCCUGCAUUUUCUUAGGAGCAGAUGCUUUCCUUCAGGAUUUGAUUUCACUGCCACUUGCCCCCAAACUCCCCUAGUUGGGAGGGGAAUGGGGAGCCGAGAGACACGUGUUCAGCGCGCUUUUCAGUCACCCUGAGUUCAUUUAUUCAACAAAUACACACAGCGGCUCUCGGAGGGCACAGGGAGUUGUGUCUGUUUUGUGUUUCCUGCGCGGAAUGAAAUAAAGCGUUGCCAAUAUCGACAGCGGCUUCCUGAGCACAUCUGCCGUCUCUACUCCAGACGUAAGCAGCAAAUGGAACUUGAUGACCGUCAUUUCUAUAAGGACCCUUUUGUUUUUAUGACCUCGUUGUGUCUGGCUCCGUAAACUUCGGUGAGGUACCUCCCCGUGACCCUGCCAUCUGGCUGCGGCUGCCCUUGACCUCAACCGCGUGUUUGUCAGGCUCCCAUCAUUGGCAUCUGGGUCCUGCCUCGUGCUUCUUUCCCGUUGUUUGGGCAGCACAAGGAACUGAUCCACCUCUCUGCUAAACCCAAUCCGUGGGGGUCUCACUGGAUCCUCAGAGUAACCCUGUGAGGAUCUUUUGGGCUAUUUGGAGUCCCUUGCAAUUCCAUAUGAAUUUUAGGAUCUGCUUUUUUACUUGUGAAGAAAAGGCCAUUGGGAUUUUGAUAAAGAUUGUAUUGAACUAUAGAUUGCUUUGGCCCUUCCUUCCUCUCUGGCCACUGCAUGUGUCAUUCUGACAUGUCUGCUCCUGAAGACAGAGGCCCUGUCUCUCUGGAUGCUUGUCACUGGCCGCCUUCGCCCCUGUGCUUUGAAUAAAUGCUUUGGUGGAGGCAGAGGACAUUGAGUUAAGUCUGCUGGGGAUGGCAGUGGUAUUGGAAAACCUCACAGGGUCUUCUGAAGGUGGUCUUGAAGUUCAAACUGGACACACUCAUCUCCACACCCUCCUACAUCUGUGAGUUUUUGUAUAUCCAAGUGAAGUCAAAUCAGAGACAUCCAUGAAAUGUUUCUGGCUGUCCAGGCACGUGGAGGAAUUGCACUUCCUGGGCUGCAGUGGUUGAGUGGAAUCAUGUCACCAGUCACAGCCAAUGAGUUAUGAGCAGGAAGUGACCUUGCUUUUCCUUUGCCACAGUGGAUGGGAAUAUUCCAAAUAAUGGCCCAUCAACCUGUGUCCUGGAGUGAGGACAAGAUAAAGUAGAAGUCUCAGCCAACCUCAAAUGGGCAUAUUAUGUGUGUGUGUGUGUGAAAAAAUGAAUCUUUGUUGUGUUAAGUCCCUAAGAAUUUAGGGGACUAUUUAUUACUGCAUCAGAGCUUAGCGCUUGCCACAGUGGUUCUUAACCUCUUGGUGUUUUGGGUCCAUUUUCCAACUUGGGAAUUCUUGUUAACAUACUCAAAGGAAUUACAAAUCUCAUAGGACACUAAACAAGUUCACUGUGGGCAUGAGUAACUUCCUACUUCAGCUUUUUUUUUUUUUUUUUACAUCUUCACAAGCACCCAACAGCUAUGACUCUUCAGUUCUGCAUCCUUGGCAUUAGUCAGUGCUCACCCCAUUCCAAAUAAUCACCAUUUCCCUAGAGUUGGCUUGCCACCUGCCAUGCCUCAUUCCCAUUCUCCCAACCACAGUGCACUAUGUUCCACCUGACACGGCGCCAGGAGAGUGUCAUUCUCCAUCCUUACUCACCUGUGACAUGGGAAUAAUGGACACCCAAUACACUUCCAGGCAAUCGAUCCCAGAGAUCACAAGAAAGAAAGGCUCCUAAACCAAGAUAAGGAGGUCAGAUCACACAUGAUCGUGAGGCAAAUGAAAAUACAGAGAUGCAGCAGAUUGGAACACUUAGGACAGGGGUACCAUCCUAUAUCCUGGGUGGGCAACGCUGUCUCUCUCUGCUGCCUCUGCCUUCCUCACUUGACAGUGUGGAUAUGAAACCGCAGUUGAGGUUUGAGGUGCACAGAAGUCUGGAAUGUGCCUGGGGCCAGUGUCACGCUCAUGCUCAAUUGGAGAGGCUCAGAGACAGAGUGCCAGGCCCUGGCUGCCGGUCUUCAAUUAGCCUGGGGAACAGCCGUGGUUAUUUGCAUUUCUUGGACACAUGGGGCCAGAAUGAGUGUUACCAAUGGGUGGCUGAAUAUCGAGUGCCUCAUAUGCCUCAUGUAUAUUUAGCUUAUUAUGAAUAUUUAGUGCCUCAGAUGCCUUAAAUAUAUUUAGUGACUCAUGAAUAUUUCGUGUCUCUUGUAUAUUUAGUACCUCAUGAAUAUUAGGAAUCCCUUGCUCCUUCCAUCUCUCUUUAUUUCUCUUCAGUUCUCUGCUCUGUGUUAUCGGCAUAACAUCUAUCCCUGGU